rnacentral:rRNA from 1 species
UACAGAGGGGGCAAGCGUUGUUCGGAAUUACUGGGCGUAAAGGGCGCGUAGGCGGGAUGGCAAGUCGGUCGUGAAAUCCCUCGGCUCAACCGAGGAACGUCGAUCGAUACUGCUGUUCUUGAGGAUUGCUGAGGAGACUGGAAUUCCCGGUGUAGCGGUGAAAUGUGUAGAGAUCGGGAGGAACACCGGUGGCGAAGGCGGCGACCUGGUCCGAUACUGACGCUGAGGCGCGAAAGCGUGGGGAGCAAACAGG